GAGCUCCUGGCAUCACAGACACAUCUUCAAUUUUAAGGAAAAGAACUGUCAUAAAGAAGAAUGGGGAAUUUGGCCUGCUUAUGGAAAGCUGCAGUGCAAUGGGGAAGGACUUCUGAGUAGGAACAUGGAAGAGAUCAUCAGGAACAACUGCUGUGAUGUGACAGACCCUCAUUUUCACCAACCAAGAAGCCCCUCUCCUGGUCCCAUAUGAUGAGGCUGUGACCAUCAUUUGACUUACUUCAUGAAAGGAAAACUGGCAUUUAAAGCCCAAGAAUUGCUUGCCCCCAAGUUUUGGAGGGGGACCGAAGACUCGUCACCCACCUGCGGGUGCAUGAAGGGUGCUGGCUUUCCAUCUCUGUUCCCUUGGUCUUGUGAAGGGUUGGAAGAGAGUUUUGCCACCCAUCACCCGGAACAAGAGGAUGGUUUGGAAAUGGCUGGGCGCUGUGCUGCUGCUCCCCGUGCAGAUGCUUUACCUGGUGCUGAAAGCCGCCGUUUGUGCUCUGCUGCCACCCAAACUACGGGACCUGUCUGGGGACACCGUGCUGGUGACAGGUGGGGGACGUGGCAUCGGCCGCCAACUGGCCCGGGAAUUUGCCAGGCGAGGAGCCAGGAAGGUGAGAUGGGAUGUGGGAAUGGGCACCUGCUGCUGUGUGGGGCCCCGAGCUGUGCGCAAGCCAUGGGGCUGGGAGGGAAGAAGGGGCAGCUGGAGUGGGACUCACCUCCGUGCCUGGGCCUGCCCUGCUUUGGGACUUGGGGUGGGAAGAGCUCUGCUUCACCCCCACGGCUUUCUGUUUGCCAAGUCAUCUCAUGUGCUUUCUGA
rnacentral:lncRNA from 1 species